rnacentral:rRNA from 1 species
UACGAAGGGGGCUAGCGUUGUUCGGAUUCACUGGGCGUAAAGGGUGCGUAGGCGGUCGGGUAAGUCUGAUGUGAAAUCUCACAGCUUAACUGUGAAACUGCAUUGGAUACUAUCCGGCUUGAGGAAUGGAGGGGAGACUGGAAUACUUGGUGUAGCAGUGAAAUGCGUAGAUAUCAAGUGGAACACCAGUGGCGAAGGCGAGUCUCUGGACAUUUCCUGACGCUGAGGCACGAAAGCCAGGGGAGCAAACGGG